rnacentral:lncRNA from 1 species
GUAUUUGUCUCCUGGGAUGCUGUGGGGUUGACCCUGGAUAGCAUUCAUGGUCAUUAGCUCAUGGUGUUCUUGGGAGACAUUUGAAGUCAGCUGGUGUCCUGCUGAUGGAGCUGCUGAGUUCAGCAUCACAUCGACAUAAUUUCGUGAUGCGUUUGCAUGAAGGGCUUUGGUGCCAUUUCUGAGUGAGACUUCAGAAGCCUCCUGGAUCCUAUUCUGGCCCAUCGUGGCAUGGUCAGCAGAUGAGAAACAGAUGGACUGGUGUGUGGUGGGAGGAAGCUGUCCUGGUCGAGCUCUGCUUCAGGCCAGUCCUUUCUGAGAUUGGAGAAGUGAGAAGAGGAGCAGAGAGACCAGCUGGGAGCUGCUGUAGUAACCCAGGUGAGGGAGAUGGUGGCCUGGACCAGUGCUUGGCAUAGAGGUGGAGAGAAGUGAUAUAACUGAUUUAAGUCAACCAGCUGCUUGAUCCAAAUAAUGCCAAAUGAGUUUAUUGUCAUCUCUUCAUAUUUUACAACCAGAUCACUUCUGCAUAAAGCCACAUGGAAGAAUAAGAAGGGAAAAACAAUCAAGCAAUAAACUGUUCAUCUGAAAAUAGUUAAAUUCUCCAACAGUUGAUUUUAAAAUAUUUUCCUAAAAUCUAUUAAGAUUUUUUUUCAAAGUAAUUCUUCUAUGGAGGCACAUCUCUGGACUGAAACAACCGGCCUUUGCUUUUGGUGUGGUCCUGUUUCAGUCAAAAUGGCUAACAGGCUAUGCAGAAAAUCAAAUUCCAAGUUACUCAAAUGUGGAGAAAAUCUGGAGGUCUGGUAUGGGCAUCUUCUCAAAAUGCUUUAAUUACACAUUGAUUUACAAAUGACAUUGUCUGGUAUGGUAGUUUUAAAAAAAUCAUCAUUUUUAAACAUCUGCCAAAUUUUAAAUGAUAGUUUUUCAUGAAAGUACAAAGAAAACUUCAUCCACAAUCACGAAAUUUUCCAUCUCAUAUAUCCUGAUGAAAACAAAGACUUUCUAUGGACAAUUGUUGAAACACGCCUGACCUUGGACCCUGUGCUAUCUACCCUUCUCAGUGUCAUUCUCUAUCUAGUUUGGCUUUUCCAAAUUUAAUCACUAAGAUAUUCGGACAUUAUUACAAAAUAUUAUUACAAGCCCUUUAAUUACCUUGAUAACAUUACUGGCAAUAUUAAAAACUUUUAGCAGUAUCUUUCAUGGUGUGUGCUUUGCCUGAAAAGGAAAGAUAUCUCUGAUUAAAGUUUGAAACCGUUAAUAAUAUAGAACACCAUACAAAUGACACUUUUCCAAAUUAGAAAUUUUAAGAUCAAAGAUUAUUUACUGGCUUAUAUUUGUAUCUAAUUUUAACAUUUUUAUGUAGAGACGAGGUCUCGCUGUACUGCACAGGCCAAUCGCAAACUCCUGACCUCAAGCUAUCCUCCUGCCUCAAUCUUUUAUUUACUUUUAACGCUAUUCUUUUUGUUCACUUUGUUGAGAUAUCUAGGUGAAAGCCUAAAGGCUAUGUAUUUUAAUUUCAAGGCUGCAUGUUCAUAUCCUCUCAUACCACUAACAUCCUGGCUAAUGUCUUAAUGACUAAUUUUUUCCAGUUUUACCAUGGAAUUGUCUUGAAGUUGGUGCAUAUUUCACAGACUCCAAUCUGAAGUGUGGAUCAUAGCAUUUGUUAGAAACUAGUUGACUUUGACUCUCUUUUAGUCUGAGAUAGAAUCUAAUUGGCCCUGUUAUCUUGAUUUUUAUUGGUCAAAGCUUUCAUUUCAGGCCUCCUAAUAGGAUGCUGACUAGCCAAUGGAUUGUUUGCCUUUGGUCAGGUGUUCACCCUCUGGUCCAAUUAGCUGAGGCCAAAAUAUAGUAGGAAAUUGUAGCCAAAGAAUGGAUAAGGAAUUUCCUAAGGCAGUCUUGCUCAGCAGGUGCUAUGUCAGUUUUUAGAAGUGUUUGUGGUUGUGAUAAUUGUUCUAACGGUUGGCCCAUACUGCGUAUGAUCUAAGGAUCUAAGAAUAAUUUAUUACCAAAGUAGCAAAAGAACUUCUUGUAAAUAACCUCUGACAAAUAUUUUUUAUUGGCGUGUACCCUAAAGAUAGCAGUACAGUGAAGCUCCAGUAACUGAAAAGAUCCUGUAUUGGUAUUAAAAAAUUAAAGUUAAACGCUUAUGUAACUGUCUUACAGAUAAUUUUAGGCAAAGCAGUCUUGAAAUAAGUUCUGCUAAUCAGUUAAAGAAACAGUUGAAUAUUUUUUAAUGGCAAGAGCACUAGUCUUAGAAUCAGGAACCAUGGGUUGGCUCUGAGACUCUCUGUCUCAUCUUGGGGAAAUCAUUUCAGCUUUGUGGCCCCACCCGGUGUUUUCCCGGAGCCCAUAAGAUGAAUGUUGUAAUAGGCUACUUCUACUUCUAAAGCAUCCUUGAUCUGAAAUUUGAGAAACAGAACUGAGAAUCAAAAUGAAAUAAAAGCUUGAAUAGAUAAGUUUGGAGACCAAAAAAAAAAAAAAAGCCAGAGAGAAAUUAAGUUAUUUAUAGAGCAUUCACUAUGAUAUCCCGUGCACUGUACACAUGUUGACUUCUCAUUCUUCAGAGAAAGGCUCUGAGGUUGUAUCCAGUUUACAGUAGAAAACAGGUAAGAUACCUUGCCCCAGUCACACAAAAUGUAAACAAUGGAGUCAACCCAAUUUUAUUUAGCUAAAAGAAUAAUAAAGUGCUUUCCAUCAUACCAAAUUCUUCCUUAAAUGCAGGGAGAAAUAAUGCUUACGGAAAAACAGAGGCAGAUAAAAAUAUAGUAAUGUUUUACAAAGAAAUAACAACAUUUUCACUAAAUGAUGCGGAGCUUGGGUUGAGAAUGCUGAUAUAUGACUCAGAAUGCAAACCUUUUGCAUUGAUUGUUUUCACUUAGAUUUUAUGAAAGCUGUAGGUGUGUGAGUUAAAGAGGAAUGCUUCAGCACUUCCCUGGUCAUGCAUAAACAUCUACAUGCAAAACAGCAAGAAGUGCUCUGUUUAUCGCAGCUGCAGUCAAGCCAACAAAACUGUUUCUACCACUGAGGAUGAAAUUUGUAAAAUUUUCUCUCGAAAAAUAAAAUAAGCCUCUUGUUUGAUUGCC